UAAUUAGUUAGUUAGUUGGUUAGUUAGUUAGUUAGUUAAUUAGUUGGUUAGUUAGUUAGUUAGUUAUUUGCCGUUUCAGAAAUUUUAUGAAUAUUAACAAAAACUUUGUAUAUAUCUUCAAUAAGAAUGACUGCGUCUUCCACUUUAUAGCCACAACAAGAAAAAAUACUCUUAUUUAAAACUUUAAAAUAAAUUAUAUAAAGAAACAAAAAAGAUAUUUUUUCUUAAAAUCUACAAUGAGACAGUUUUAUGAGGGCCAUUAAAACAAAAUGCGAAUAAGUUGUAGAAGGAAAUGUUGCAAGGCAGCCAGCAAGUUGUAGUAGUAGAGUAGUAAAGUAGCAAAACAAUAACGAAAAAAUUUGCAAAAAAAAAAAAACAAGACACAAAAAUUCAAUGCACGAUUUUUGCAUGCAGACCAUGACCCACACCAACUUUUGGCUAAAAUCAAAAUAAUACGAAAAAAAAACAAAAUAAAAAAAAUGUUUGUGUGUUUUAUUUUAGACAUGACGAAGCACAAAAAUUAUAAAACAACCUGACUAACUAACUGGCUGAAUGACAGACAGACGGACAGACAAACACUGAAUACAGAAAAAUAAGGAAAAGGAAAAGAAUAAAAACCGAAAUUAACAGGAAGGCAAAGCCUGUAGGGAAAUGGCAGAGAGGAGGAAAUAUGUACCAAUAAAUAAAAGAAGUUAAAGUUUUUAUAUGUACACAAAGAAAAUAUUAAAAUUAAAAUAUUUUGUUAAAAAUAUAAAGUUAAAUGAAAAUUUUUGUAGCAAUAUUAAAAACGAUUACUGAUAUCUCUUUGAAAAACAAACCCUCCCUCCUUAUCUCUCUCACAAGCUCUCUCUUAAAAUGUACAAUUUAUGUUUCUAUAUGUUUUAUAUAGACUGUGUCUAACUGUGUGAGUGUGUUGGUAUAUAUUUUUGAAAUCAGUACAUUUUUUGUUUUUGUCUUUCUUUCAUUGCCUUCGUCUUUCUUGCAUAUUUUAUUUUUAUGCGAAUAUCUGAAGUAAAACAGAAUGUUGAAAGGUUAAUCAACUCUAAACGUCUGCUGCUUUUGUAGGUUGUUGUUAUUGUCGAUGUUUUGCGUUAUAAAUGGGUUUGAGUGUAUGUACAUGUGAGAUUGUUGGCUAGGACGACACCAUGUUGUUUUGCUGCAACGACAUCAACACAGAAGAGCAAAGCAUAAUAUUACAUUCAAAAGUUUACUUUCAACCUGUUUUGGUCUCUGCCAAUUGUUUUAAUGUGUUUUUUUUUUGGUGUUGUUCGUACAUAUGAUAUGUUGCAUGUAUGUAUUAUUUCAAUUACAGUGAAGAACCAAAAAGGUAAACUUGCACUUGAAAUAACUUGUUGUCAAUUUGUAGAAAUUAAUUGAAAUUUUUUGACAACAGCGUCAGAGAAAUAUGUUUACAUGCCUACUUUCAUAAGUGUGUCUCACAUAUCGCAAAACAACAUCCACGCACAAUUGCUGUACUAACAUUUUUCUAACAAAUUUCAAUGUUUCAAAAAUUUAUUUGUUUAAAAUUCUUUUAUAAAAUUCAAUUCCUUUUUUUGCUCAGAUCAAAUCAUCAUGUGCACUGAUAUAUAUAUUUUAAAAAUACUUUUCAAUAUUAAAAUUUAAUAAAAUUAAAUAAAAAAUAUGUUGAUUAACACA